rnacentral:rRNA from 1 species
CCUACGGGAGGCAGCAGUGGGGAAUAUUGGACAAUGGGGGCAACCCUGAUCCAGCCAUGCCGCGUGUGUGAAGAAGGCCCUCGGGUUGUAAAGCACUUUCAGUGAGGAAGAACGCCUGGUGGUUAAUACCCGUCAGGAAAGACAUCACUCACAGAAGAAGCACCGGCUAACUCCGUGCCAGCAGCCGCGGUAAUACGGAGGGUGCGAGCGUUAAUCGGAAUUACUGGGCGUAAAGCGCGCGUAGGUGGCUUGAUAAGCCGGUUGUGAAAGCCCCGGGCUCAACCUGGGAACGGCAUCCGGAACUGUCAAGCUAGAGUGCAGGAGAGGAAGGUAGAAUUCCCGGUGUAGCGGUGAAAUGCGUAGAGAUCGGGAGGAACACCAGUGGCGAAGGCGGCAUUCUGGACUGACACUGACACUGAGGUGCGAAAGCGUGGGUAGCAAACAGGAUUAGAUACCCGAGUAGUC